CUGGCUCAGGAUGAACGCUGGCGGCGUGCUUAACACAUGCAAGUCGAACGAAGCACUUUAUUUGAUUUCCUUCGGGACUGAUUAUUUUGUGACUGAGUGGCGGACGGGUGAGUAACGCGUGGGUAACCUGCCUUGUACAGGGGGAUAACAGUUGGAAACGGCUGCUAAUACCGCAUAAGCGCACAGCAUCGCAUGAUGCAGUGUGAAAAACUCCGGUGGUAUAAGAUGGACCCGCGUUGGAUUAGCUAGUUGGUGAGGUAACGGCCCACCAAGGCGACGAUCCAUAGCCGACCUGAGAGGGUGACCGGCCACAUUGGGACUGAGACACGGCCCAAACUCCUACGGGAGGCAGCAGUGGGGAAUAUUGCACAAUGGGCGAAAGCCUGAUGCAGCGACGCCGCGUGAGCGAAGAAGUAUUUCGGUAUGUAAAGCUCUAUCAGCAGGGAAGAUAAUGACGGUACCUGACUAAGAAGCACCGGCUAAAUACGUGCCAGCAGCCGCGGUAAUACGUAUGGUGCAAGCGUUAUCCGGAUUUACUGGGUGUAAAGGGAGCGCAGGCGGUGCGGCAAGUCUGAUGUGAAAGCCCGGGGCUCAACCCCGGUACUGCAUUGGAAACUGUCGUACUAGAGUGUCGGAGGGGUAAGCGGAAUUCCUAGUGUAGCGGUGAAAUGCGUAGAUAUUAGGAGGAACACCAGUGGCGAAGGCGGCUUACUGGACGAUAACUGACGCUGAGGCUCGAAAGCGUGGGGAGCAAACAGGAUUAGAUACCCUGGUAGUCCACGCCGUAAACG
rnacentral:rRNA from 1 species